GAAGAUUCUAGCUGUUCAGGGUCUGUGAGGAGGAGUCAAGGUCUGGGGUUUGUGUCCUCUGGCAUAGCAAUGGCACUGCAAUGGGGGAGCCUGUUGCUGGGCUGGGCCAUCUCGCCACUGUCACCUGCCUGUUGAGGGGUGACGGUGGUUGUUGAGAGGCUGGAUCAGACCCCAGAGGUGACAUGGAUGUGGCAUAUUUGUUGGACUUACACAGCCUUGCAUUUUAUUUUCAUCUCUGUUCCUUCCUCCCAUGAGAUCUUGGGUGGUGUUUAUCAACCCUGAGUAAUCGUUUCUUUGUCUGCAAGAUGGAAUAAAAAGGCCUACCUCAUUGGGCUCGUGUGGGUGAGGAGAACUGAAGAGUCUGAGAGCGCGGCACGAGCCAGAGGCUACGGAAAACACUGCCCUCCUACACUCCACCUUGGAGAGACCCAGAAAAGAACAAGCUUCAUUUGUAAAAAAGGAAAACAACUCAGGCAAUGGGGGUGGCUUAAAGGCACUCUACAGUGUGCAGAUGCCUUCCACUUCUUCCAUCUGCCCUGUCUCUCCAAGAACCCCUAUGGCCCCGGUCUCAGAACAGAGCUGAGUGCAGAAAUGAAAAUCUAUGGCUCUGUGUUCCAAAACGAUGAAGAAUUUCAAGAUGGUGGCAGUGGUAAAAUCUUUCUCCAGGAAAAAUCUGUCCUUGGCCCAAUGUGUAAACACUUGCUGAGGAACUUGGAAUAACUUGCAGUGUCUUGCAGUAUUGUGAAACCAGCAACUUGUUCACAAUUCUUCUGAAUUUCUUGGGAAAUUUGAAGUGGAGUACCUGUACCAACAUGAAAUGACACGAAUUUAAGUGACGCUCAACAACGAAAAGCAAAAAGAACCAAAGAGGAAGCAACUGAAACAACAUCUGGAUGUAUUUAAAAAUAUACAAUGCCUCCAAAAUCAGGUGUCAUUAAUGAAAAUUCUGAAGAAAUGCCACCGGACAUAGCCAACGCACCUACGCUGUUGUUAUUCAUUUCCUGCUUUUCACAGAAAACAAUUUUGUUGCAUGGAAGAUCGUGAACUUCAAAGGGCAGAGGGGAAACUGUCCCUUGGCCUCUACCCCUCCAAGGCCCCACUUUUUUGUCAACACUCCUUGGACGCAGCAGAAGUAUGAACAUAAUAUGGUCCUGAAUGAGGCUGAGUCUUUGGGCGCAGAAGACCCGGGUUAAUAAAAAUAGGAAGGUAAGAAAAGAAAAGAAAAAUCAAGACACAUCAUAGGACUAAAUUCCUAUUAUUUAUCCACUCAGGAUUGACCACCCCUUUGGGCCAGAUAGUUGUACCCCCAUGUACCAGGUGGGCACAUGAAGACACAAGAAGUGCUGUGAUGGUUCAUUUUGCACGUCACCUUGCGUGGAGUAUGCCAACUCAUUGUUUGGUCAAACACUAGUCUGGACAUGGUGGUAAAGGUAUUUUUUAGAUGAGAUUAACACUUAAAUCAGUAAAGCAGGUUACCCACCAUACUACGGGUGGGCCCUGUCCAAUCAGUUGAAGGCAUUAAGAACAAAGAUUGAGGUUUCCUAAAGAAGAUGGAAUUCUCCUUGAGACUACAACAUAGAAACCCUAUCUGAGUUUCCAGCCUGUUGCCCUGUGGAAUUCAAACUCAGGACUCCGGUCUAUGACAUUAACCCUCACUUAACUUUUCAGCCUGCCAGCCUGCCCUAUGGAUUUCGGACUUGCCAGCCACACAAUUCCUUAAAAUAAAUCUCUCCGUCUCUGUCUGUUUCUCUCUGUCUAUAUACACACCUG
rnacentral:lncRNA from 10 species